rnacentral:lncRNA from 1 species
AAACCACCAGGAACAGCUUGGAAGUGACCCCAAACCACUUGGAGGUGUCCCCAAAUCUGUGGGAUCUGCAGGUUUGGAACUGUCCCCAAAUCCCCAGGAUCAGUUUGGAAUUGUCCCCAAACCCCGGGAUCCUUUUGCUGCUGUCCCCAGGAUCUGUUUGGAAUUGUCCCCAAACCCCGGGAUCCUUUUGCUGCUGUCCCCAGGAUCCCUUUGGAAUUGUCCCCAGGAUCCCUUUGCUGCUGUCCCCAAGUCCCCAGGAUCAGUUAAGAACUGUCCCCAAAUCUCUGGGAUCCCUCUGGAAUUGUCCCCAAGCCACAGGAUCCCUUUGCUGCUGUCCCCAAAUCCCGGGGAUCUGUUUGGAAUUGUCCCCAGGAUCCCUUUGGGAUUGGUCUCAAACCCCAGGAUCCCUUUGGGGCUGUCUCUGGGAUCCCUUUGGAUCUGUCCCCAAACCUCAGGAUCAGUUCAGAGCUGUCCCCAGGAUCCCUUUGGGGCUGUCCCCGAGUCCCCAGGACCCAUUGGGAUCUGUCCCCAAACCCCAGGAUCAGUUCAGAACUGUCCUCAAGUCCCCAGGAUCAGUUCAGAGCUGUCCCCAGGAUCCCUUUGGGAUUGUCCCCAAACCCCGGGAUCCCUUUGGAUCUGUCCCCAAACCCCAGGAUCAGUUCAGAGCUGUCCCCAGGAUCCCCUUGGAUCUGUCCCCAAGUCCCCAGGACCCAUUUGGAUCUGUCCCCAAGGUCACUCUGUCCCCGUCCCUCUGAGGAUGAUGCUGAACUCCGAGCCCCCGUCCCUCU